AAUGAAAGGGAUGAGGUGAGCUCCAGUUCCAGAGCGGAGGUAACAGUACCUCUAGAAAUGAUCCAGAUGACUGUUAGCUCCGAUCAGCACUGAGGCUCCUCUACACUCUACUCCUCUA
rnacentral:precursor_RNA from 14 species